GACGAACGCUGGCGGCGUGCUUAACACAUGCAAGUCGAGCGGUAAGGCCCUUUCGGGGGUACACGAGCGGCGAACGGGUGAGUAACACGUGGGUGACCUGCCCUCAGCUCUGGGAUAAGCCUGGGAAACCGGGUCUAAUACUGGAUAUGACUCCAUGACGCAUGUUGUGGGGUGGAAAGCCUUGUGCGGCUGAGGAUGGGCCCGCGGCCUAUCAGCUUGUUGGUGGGGGAUGGCCUACCAAGGCGACGACGGGUAGCCGGCCUGAGAGGGCGACCGGGCCACACUGGGACUGAGACACGGCCCAGACUCCUACGGGAGGCAGCAGUGGGGAAUCUUGCGCAAUGGGCGAAAGCCUGACGCAGCGACGCCGCGUGAGGGAUGACGGCCUGG
rnacentral:rRNA from 1 species